rnacentral:ncRNA from 1 species
AAUAACCAAAUAUAACACUGGGACUAAGGGUCAAAUUGGUAAUUUUUCUUACAUCUCCCCCCCCAGGGGCCCAGGUAUCAUAUAC